GGUUCGAUUCUGGCUCAAGAUUGAACGCUGGCGGGAUGCUUUACACAUGCAAGUCGAACGGCAGCACGGACUUCCGGUCUGGUGGCGAGUGGCGAACGGGUGAGUAAUGUAUCGGAACGUGCCCUAGUAGCGGGGGAUAACUACUGCCAGAAAGCGUAGCUAAUACCGCAUACGCCCUUCGGGGAAAAGCGGGGACCUUCGGGCCUCGCACUAUUAGAGCGGCCGAUAUCGGAUUGGCUAGUUGGUGGGGGUAACGGCUCCGCAAGGCGACGAUCCGUAGCUGGUUUGAGAGGACGACCAGCCACCACUGGGACUGAGACACGGCCCAGACUCCUACGGGAGGCAGCAGUGGGGAAUUUUGGACAAUGGGGAAACCUGAUCCAGCCAUCCCGCGUGUGCGAUGAAGGCCUUCGGGUUGUAAAGCACUUUUGGCAGGAAAGAAACGGCACGGGAUAAUACCCCGUGCAACUGACAGUACCUGCAGAAUAAGCACCGGCUAACUACGUGCCAGCAGCCGCGGUAAUACGUAGGGUGCAAGCGUUAAUCGGAAUUACUGGGCGUAAAGCGUGCGCAGGCGGUUCGGAAAGAAAGAUGUGAAAUCCCAGAGCUUAACUUUGGAACUGCAUUUUUAACUACCGAGCUAGAGUGUGUCAGAGGGAGAGUGGAAUUCCGCGCGUGUAGCAGUGAAAUGCGUAGAUAUGCGGAGGAACACCGAUAGCGAAGAACAGCCUCACAAAUUAACACUGACGCUCAUGCACGAAAGCAUUAAGGAGCAAACAGGAUUAGAUACCCUGGUAGUCCACGCCCUAAACGAUGUCAACUAGCUGUUGAGGCCUUCGGGCCUUGGUAGCGCAACUAACGGCGUGAAGUUGACCGCCUGGGAGUACGGUCGCAAGAUUAAAACUCAAAGGAAUUGGCGGGGACCCGCACAAGCGGUGGAUGUGGAUUAAUUCGAUGCAACAUGAAAACCUUACCUACCCUUGACCAUGUCUGGAAUCCCGAAGAGAUUUGGGAGUGCUCGCAAGAGAACCGGAACACAGGUGCUGCAUGGCUGUCGUCAGCUCGUGUCGUGAGAUGUUGGGUUAAGUCCCGCAACGAGCGCAACCCUUGUCAUUAGUUGCUACGAAAGGGCACUCUAAUGAGACUGCCGGUGACAAGCCGGAGGAAGGUGGGGAUGACGUCAAGUCCUCAUGGCCCAUAUGGGUAGGGCUUCACACGUCAUACAAUGGUCGGGACAGAGGUCGCCAACCCGCGAGAGAGCCAAUCCCAGAAACCCGAUCGUAGUCCGGAUCGCAGUCUGCAACUCGACUGCGUGAAGUCGGAAUCGCUAGUAAUCGCGGAUCAGCAUGUCGCGGUGAAUACGUUCCCGAGGUCUUGUACACACCGCCCGUCACACCAUGGGAAUUGGGUUUUACCAGAAGUAGUUAGCCUAACCGUAAGGAGGGCGAUUACCACGGUAGGAUUCUGACUGGGGUGAAGUCGUAACAAAAUUAG
rnacentral:rRNA from 1 species